rnacentral:rRNA from 1 species
UACGGGGGGGGCAAGCGUUGUUCGGAAUUACUGGGCGUAAAGCGCGUGUAGGCGGUUGCCCAAGUCGGGUGUGAAAGCCUUGAGCUCAACUCAAGAAAUGCACUCGGUACUGGGUGACUAGAGGACCGGAGAGGAUAGUGGAAUUCCCAGUGUAGUGGUGAAAUACGUAGAGAUUGGGAAGAACACCAGUGGCGAAGGCGGCUAUCUGGACGGUUUCUGACGCUAAGACGCGAAAGCGUGGGGAGCAAACAGG